ensembl:lncRNA
GUCCUUUGCUGCUUGUUCUGGGGAAAGCAAGUCAGAGGUAUGAGGCUCUUGGGCUUCUCCUGCCACCACCCAGCAUCCCUGGCUGCAGGCUCUGUCCCUCAGCCCAGCCCCGAGGGAGGCGGUGGUGGCUCUUUCCAGAGAUGCCCCCACCACUACCCCAAUGGUAUUCACGCCCCAGUGUAGGUCCUGUCCCUUUCUCUUGAAUCUGGGCUGGCUCUGUGACUUGCUUAUUGCCAAUGGAAUGUGGUAGAAGCAAGGCUACACGACUUCCACGUCAAAAGCAGCCUUGCAGUGGCUGCCUUGGUCUUCUGGAACAGCCUCUGGGAGCCCUGAGCUGCUGUGUAGAAGUCCGACUACCUGAGGCUGCCGUGCUGGAGAGACCUGCUACAGGUGCUCCAGUAGACACUCGCCACCAAGCCCAGCCUGCUUGCCACCAGGCCACCGGACAGUGAGGGAAGCUGUUCUGGACCUUCUGCAAUGGCCCAUCUACCAGCUGAAUGCUGUCAAGUGACCUCAGUCAGGGUCACGCAGGGCAGAAGGAUCACCCAGCUGUGCAGUGCCUGCAUGAACUCCUGACCACGAAACCAUGAGACACGGUGCCUGAGGAAACCCUGCCAGCCGCAUGGCCCAGCUCUGAGGCCCACUGGGGGCCAUGCAGUGAAGUGUUGCUUCAUGCAGCUUCUCACCUAGUCCUCACAAGGGGCCUCUGGUGGAGGAAUCCUGUUGGGCUCGUUUGCAGAGAAGCCACAGAGAAGGUGAGUAACUUCCCUCUUGGUGGGGCUGGACGCUGGGAGGCAGGCUGGGCCAGCCCAGGGUGUGAUUUGAAGGCUGGGAUGGGAAAUAACAUUUGCAGGUGCCUGUGAUGCUCCAGACAGGGUGCAGGUGGCUCCCACACAUUAUGUCAUCUACUCUUCACAACCCUGAAUGCCUUAGAGAUGAGGCCUCUGAGGCCCUGACAGGACAGGAAACCUCCCCAACUCACCACUAGUAAGCCAAGAUUCUAAAGCCGUUUUCACAGCCAGUCCGCCCUGGCCCCUCCUCAUGUUAUGGGUUGUCUAUGGGCAUUGCCCGCCCGCCGCACCGCCCCCAGAUCACUGGGUCAGAACAAAGCAGAAGAGCCAAGCCCCACACUGGCCGCCCUUGCCUGGGCCGCAUGCAGGCCACCUGCUGGGCAGCUCCCAGGCCCUCUGAACUGGGCAGCAAACCACGGGCAAGGCCGAGCCCAUUCUGGAGCUUACACAAGGCUCUCUCUGUUCUGGAAGCAAUUCAGAGACGGCAGCCAUCCCGUGCUCCCCGGUGAAAUGAGGGAGUGUUUGCUCCUGCUGUGAGCUGAUUUUCGGUGGCCUGAUCAGCAGCAGCUUGCUCUUAGUAAAACAAACAGCCUCAUGUGAAAAAACCUUCGUCCAGUUACAUCCAGGAUCAACAGGGGAGGGGUCUGAAGGUACCGCACCCCACUCCACCCGCCCGGCUCCCCUCCCUUGGCUGCUGAGGGUGGAAUCCCAUUUAAACAAUUGCCUGAGCCAGAAGGAACAUUUGAGUCAUUAAUUUCCUGCUCGCUGUGAGAGAAGGCGCACGGAGCUGGCCCAGGCAAGGCCCUUGUGCCCAUUUGUCUUCACACCGUCACUCUGAGUGAGACUCAGGGAGAGCCGUGGAGCCCUUGGAAAUACGGGGACUUAUUCUAGCCACGAUUCCCAGGCCAGAGGAUUGGCAUGGCAAAUGGACAUUAAGGGGAGCUGUUUGGUGAGAAGCCCUCUAAGUCAGAGAUAGAGCCCGAGGUUCUGUCCAGGGCUCUCUCAGCACCCUGCCCGGUGACUUCCAUCAUUCCCUCAUUUGUCUCUUCAUCCCUUCAUUCAUCACAUCCAUACCGAAUGGCCGCUGGGGGCUAGUCUUUGUUACAGACGUCUCGGUUUUCUCCAGCAGAGCCAACCUGCUGGAGGUGAGGCCCAGCUCUUCAAAUAAGUGAGGCUGUUGGCAGCUUCGGCAUCCUGCAAGGGAAGCUGGAGGCUGUCCUUGAGGCAGAAUCGCCCCUGUCCUGGCAGCAGCAGCUCUGGUGGCUUUCUAUGUGGUUGUAUACCCGAAGCAAAUCCAGACUCCCUGCUCUCAGGGCAGCCCUGAGCCUGCAAGAGGACACACAGACCCAGAUUCUUUAAAAAAUAACGGCUUUGAGGCCGACCCGGUGGUG